AACGAACGCUGGCGGCAUGCCUAACACAUGCGAGUCGAACGAGACCUUCGGGUCUAGUGGCGCACGGGUGCGUAACGCGUGGGAACCUGCCCUUAGGUUCGGCAUAACUCCCCGACAGGGGUGCUAAUACCGGAUCAUGUCUUCGGACCAAAGAUUUAUCGCCUUUGGAUGUGCCCGCGUUGGAUUAGCUAGUUGGUAGGGUAAAAGCCUACCAAGGCGACGAUCCAUAGCUGGUCUGAGAGGAUGAUCAGCCACACUGGGACUGAGACACGGCCCAGACUCCUACGGGAGGCAGCAGUGGGGAAUAUUGGACAAUGGGCGAAAGCCUGAUCCAGCAAGGCCGGGUGAGUGAUGAAGGCCUGAGGGUUGUAAAGCGCUUGUACCCGGGAUGAUAAUGACAGUACCGGGAGAAUAAGCGCCGGCUAACUCCGUG
rnacentral:rRNA from 1 species